rnacentral:rRNA from 1 species
UUAGAUACCCUAUUAUACUAAUAAAAGUCUAAAUUAUUAAUAGAUAUAUUCUUUAAAUUUGAAGAAUUUGGCGGUGGUUUAAUCUUAUUAGAGGAACCUGUUUGAGUCGAUCGAUACACCACGCUAUAUCUUACUCACUUUAUUUAGUUUAUAUACCGUCAUUAUCAGAUGAUUUUUAAAGAAAAUAGAAAUCAUUAAAAAUUAUAAAUAUAUAUUAUUAGUAAGUUAAAUUAGAUCAAGGUGUAGCUUAUAAGUGAGUUUAAAUGGGUUACAAUAAAAUAUAUUUAUUACGAAUUAAUUAUGGGAAAAAUAUUAUGAAGGAGGAUUUAAUUGUAAUAUGAGUUGAAUGAACUUGUAAGAUAUUGGCUCUAAACCAUGUACAUAUC